rnacentral:rRNA from 1 species
AUGGUUAAUGAAGGUACUAUCAUGGGGCGUAAAAUUUCUGAAAGAGGAAUUGAAGUUGAUAAAGCUAAAGUUGAUGCUAUUGAAAAGAUGUCGUGUCCCAAGGACAUCAAAGGUAUAAGAAGUUUCCUUGGUCAUGCUGGUUUUUAUAUGAGGUUCAUCAAGGACUUCUCAAAAUUUUAUCGGCCUCUGACUAACCUAUUACAAAAAGAUAUUCCUUUUGUCUUUGAUGACGAUUGUGUAGAAGCAUUUGAAAUACUUAAGAAAGCUUUGAUUUCUGCACCUAUUGUUCAACCACCUGAUUGA